rnacentral:sRNA from 12 species
CGCCUAAACUUUACAGCUUUGUAAGGCAUUGGUGGCAAAAUCCUGAGCAACAAACGAGGUCUCUCGACUGGCACUUGUUGCUCAGGUCUGAGUCAGAAAUGGCUCAGGGUAGCCGAAAGGUUAUC